AUGGAAAACCAGAGUGCCAAAAGAAGGUGGAUUUGGCAGUUGUUGCUCCAUGAGACAAGUUUAUUUUCCUGCUCAAAAUUCGGACCUAGAAAGGAUGAAACCAGAUGGAACGCAAAAGCUACAUGGCAGAGCACAUUUUGGGCACUGGUUCGUUUGGUGCCGUCUUUCAGGCUAAAUUCUUGGAAACUGGGGAGACGGUGGCCACUAAGAAGGUACUGUCGGGAGCUGCAGCUUAUGCGUUCGAUUAACCAUUCCAAUGUUGUCUCCCUCAAGCACUGCUUCUUCUCAACCACAAGUGAAGUGAGCUGUUUCUGA
rnacentral:rRNA from 1 species